CUUAUUCUUACCAACCAAAAAUAAGAGAAGAGUUAUUAUUUUUAUAUUUUUAAUUGCGUACUAUUUUUAGUCGCAUUCCGUUGCAUUUUUAUUUGCAUAUAAUUGUCAGUUUCAGCUUUAAUUUUUAUUGUGGAAAGCAAAGGCUUUGACUGCCUGCAUUUCAUUCAUUUAUUUGCCUAAUUGAGUUAUAAAAUCUUAGCGCCGAUAAAAAGCUUGCGCGCACUGUAAAAAUUAUAUUUUCAUAUGUAAAUAAAAAGCAUGUAUGUAAUACAUACAUAAAUACGUGUGUAUGGAUGUAUGUAUGUAUGCGUGAAUUCAGCAAGUAUGAAACCGCGGUUUUAUUAAUUUUACCUUGGUUCAAUUCGUUUGUACUUUGUCUCGCAAUGGACGUUUGCUUUGUUCACUGGGCGAAUUCGCCCAACACACACGCGUUUAGAUACCAUUAUUAAUUACAAAUGUACCUACAUACACACAUAUAUACAUAUGUACAUAUGGAAACGUAGUUCAUGCGAUUCAAAACAUACAAAUUAAAUAAAAAAAACGUCUCCGCACAAACAGUGACACCAUCUGCGUUGGAAUUUUUGCUCGCCUGCAAUUUAAUAAACUACAAAGCGAUAAUUUCAUUCUGUAUUAACCCGCUAAGCGGCAGUGCGCUGUUUCAGAACACGCAUCAAAUUUGCAAGGCCGACUCAAUUACCUGCCGUCUUUGAGACGAUAGUUCCAUACGAUAGACUCGCUAGCCAGAUCUGCGAGCUACUAUGUUCUAGAAAGUUCAAAUUAAGACAGCUACGAGACUCUGUUAACAGACGCGCAUGCAAAGGCACUAUAAUACAUACAGGUACAUACGUUUGUAUGUAUAGCUGUAGCUUUACGGAUUCCAACCCCUGCUGGGUGUUGUUGCAAAAACUUUCCAUAACUUUCGAUCCAACAGUUUGUUGUUUCUUAGGGGUAGUUUAACAACUCCGAAAAUCUGGCAUGUGUAAACAGUUUUUUGUAUGUUUUCUUGCUGGGUUGCCACAGCAACGAAGGGGUUAAUACACCCAGCGCAAAUUGCACUGAAACCGAAUGGAAAAUUCCACUGCUUAUAAUACGUUUUGUUUAGCUAUAGUUCUGUGCUGUUUUCGCUCUGCUUUUUGCCAUUGUGCGGCCAUAUGAACACCUCAGCCAACAAGCGAUUUUAGUAUUUCCCAUUUUUGUUGAGUGCACUGCGGGCAGUGCAGUAAAAGCAAAAUAGCAAUUUCGUGCAACGGCGAAUAGAAUAACGGCUACAAUAACAAAAGCAAAAAGGUGGAAAAAUAUAGAGCUGAACGAGGCAUUUCAACAUUCUGUCACACUGUAAAUAUAUCGAGUAUGACGACAAUUGACACUUUAAUUCAGAGAAAAUAUGUCAGUCUUGAGUCAUACAAAACACAGGGAAAGAUGCUGUUUUAAUUAUAACUAAACCGCGGCUUUCUUUGUAUGCAUGUGACCAGCGUGAGAAAUACUCAUGUAAAUGCAAACUCAUGUACGCAUACAUGUGAUAUAGAACAAAUUUUGCCUGUCCUUCCCUCACGGAACUAACCCAAUCACUUAAUCAUCAAUUGUCAAGUGUAUAUACAUACGAAAUAUUUAUUUUAUUACGGCGACAGUUUGAACAAACCACUUGACAAUUGAUGAUUAAUUAGAUGAGCACAUAAACAUAC